rnacentral:lncRNA from 1 species
AUGGCAGAGAGAAUCCCUCGAGGAGCGCUGACGGUGCCUGUGACGCCUGAAGCCACUUUCCCUCAAGCCACUGUGCCGCCACCGGACCCCGCCUGGAUGCAGCCCACCAUCCGCGGACCGAUGCCGGUACCACCCCAACCCCUCCCUGUCCCCAGUACCAGGUGUCUGGGGACAGGCAGCACAGCAGCUGCUGCCUGGGGGGCUGCACCCACCGAUGGCUCCCCCCGCUGCCCCUGCUCACUGCUGGGGACAUCCCCUGCUGGCAGGGACGCUGCUGCCCCAGCAGCCCAUGGGGCUGUGGCCUGGGGCCGUGCCCCAUGCAGAGCCCCCGCAGGCACCUGCCUGCCGCAGGCCCCCGGCCGCCCCGGCCCCCCGCCACUUCUUUUGCAGGUACCGGCACUGCAGCAGCUGCAGCAGCAGGUGCUCCCCGUGCCCUGCACCCUGCCCGCCAGCUGGGAGCCGCCCAUGGAGCCCUUGCAAGACGCCGUGCUGCUCAUGGAGGACCAGGGGCACCCAGCGCCCACCCAUGGCUGCCCCCAUCCUGACACGGCUCCGCUCACCUGCAGCGCUGCCACGCCGCAAUCAGGCCCAGGGACAACAAGCGCAGGCACCCCGCAGGACAUGGCAGACAUCGAUGAUCUGCUGGCAUGGAUCAACCACGAAGUCACAUCCGAGACGGCCAUCCUGGACGACAGCGCAGACUUUGACCAGCUGCUGACGUGGAUCAGCCAGGAAGAGACACCCAGCAGCAACAGACGUGAGGACGACAUGGAAAUGGACAGUUUCCUCACCUGGAUUCUUGAAGCGACGAGUGCUCUGGAGGUCCCCCAGCACAACCAGGGCCUGCCUGCAGUCACAAGAGAGGGGACCAAAGAGAAUGAGAACGCGCAAGAGGAAAAUCAUGCUGACAAGCUGCUGGCAGAACUGGACAGCUGCAAAAGGGAAGGGCUGAUGCAGUGCAUCGCUGCCAUGGGGCCAGAUGUCUCCAGCAGCCUGGGCUCUUCUUCCAACACAGAGCACCCUGACUCCCCGGGGGCCAGCAGGGAGCUCAGCAAAGAGCCCGAUCCUGAAUCAGGGCUCCUCGCAAACCCGCUCUGGCGGCAGCCAGCAUCGCCUGAGCUGCCUGAGCCGACCCCCCUGGCUGCCCCCGCACCUCCGUCGCCCCGCACCGCACAUCUGAUGGAAGAGGCACGGCGGAGGCAGCCCCGGGUGCAUCUCACCCACCUGGAACUGCCCACCCCCCUGGCUGCCCCCACACCUCCAUUGCCCUGCACUGCACGUCUGAUGGAGGAGGCACAGUGCUGAGUGCUGCUCAGCCGCCUGGCACUGCCACCCAGGUGCAUCUCCUGCCAGCUGGCAGACAAGCACCACGGGGACAGCAGCCAAACGGCCUAGUGCCCAGCACCCACCUGCACCACCACAAGAGGCAAAAGCAGCGGGCACAAGCAGCACACUGGCAGUGUCCCCGCCACAACCAGGAAGCCACCGCGCUGCCAGCAUGUUCCAGGCCACAAACACCGGCGCCAGGCGGAGCUGCCUGUGUCAGCACGGCGGCCAGCAGGAGGACUCGGUGCCCAUCACACCCCAACAGCGGCUCCAGCAGGAGCGGACCAGGAAACCGGCCCACUUGGUGGAGCAGGAGACGUGGCCGUAACCGACCAAGGCGCUUCCCUGUAGCCCUGGGCUCCUGGCCGGCCCCCACCACACCCAGAGAGCAGCGGCAGUGUUCCAGGGGCACCAGCACCAGCCCCAGCCCUACCCCUCCCAAACUGGGCUGUCCACAAACGGCAUCUUGGACUGGGGCACUGCGGGGCUCUGAAGCUGAUGGACCGACAAAGCGUUGCACUGUCAAAGCUCCGGGCUGGGAAAUGCUGGGUGGGGGGUGGGAAAUGGUUGGGGGGGGAAGGGGUGGGAAUUCUUGGGGUGGCCAAUAUUAGGGUGGAGGAUGGCUGGCGGGUGGGAAUUGGGGGUGGGGAAUUGUUGGGGUGGGGGAGUGGUUAAAGAGUGGGAGUGGUUAAAGGGACUCUGUAACUGCUGGCACUGGGGAUGUGGGGAGGGGGAGGGAACUUGGUGGGGUGGCAAUUCUGGGGGAGAAAUUGUACUCUGAUAAUGUUACACUCUGAAAUUCAGUGUUGCAAUUUGGAGGAAGGAAUUAUUGGGGUGGGAAUCUGGAGGGCCGUUGUAAUACCAGAAGAAUUUUACAGAGCAGCAGCCAUGCAUCAAGAGAAGGGCUUCACAGAGCAGCAGCUGUGGAGGGAGAAACAGCAUGAGAACCAAGGACACCUCUAGGAAAAGAAUGAGUAGC